rnacentral:lncRNA from 1 species
ACUUUAUACGGGUGAGGAAAUUCAGUCUUCACAGCAGUCUAAGAGGAUAGCAGCAGUCUCUGCCUAAACAUUUUCUCUUCUGUAGCAGAGCCUGUUUGUUUCUUGAAUUAUUGUCAUAACUACUCUGGUUUCCAUGGAUGAAAUACAUUUCUUAGUUACUGUAAUCCGUUAGUCCCAAGUUCUGUCUUUUAGAAUAAUAUGACAUAAAUUGGCAUCUUCCUUAUUUGACAACACUUUAAAGAUUCUAGAAAGUAGUACUCAUGAUUUUCUCUAGAAAUAUGUAGAGACUUCGUUUAAAUCCUGCUUACUAUUAAGAGGAUCCUGAAGCUAUGUUGCUUAUCUCAUCUUAGUUGUACCAACUUGGACGUGAACCCAGACAUGGUAAUGUGGGCCUGUAAUUCCAGCAUUUGGGGGGCUGAGGUAGGAGGAUUGUGUGUUCAAUUACAGCCUUGGCUGUAUUGAAAGAUUCUAUCAGAAAUUGUUUUUAAUUACC